rnacentral:rRNA from 1 species
GACGAACGCUGGCGGCGUGCCUAAUACAUGCAAGUCGAGCGAAGUUUUUCUGGUGCUUGCACUAGAAAAACUUAGCGGCGAACGGGUGAGUAACACGUAAAGAACCUGCCUCAUAGACUGGGACAACUAUUGGAAACGAUAGCUAAUACCGGAUAACAGUAUUUCUCGCAUGAGAGAUAUUUAAAAGUUGGUUAUGCUAACACUAUGAGAUGGCUUUGCGGUGCAUUAGCUAGUUGGUGGGGUAAAGGCCCACCAAGGCGACGAUGCAUAGCCGACCUGAGAGGGUGAUCGGCCACACUGGGACUGAGACACGGCCCAGACUCCUACGGGAGGCAGCAGUAGGGAAUCUUCCGCAAUGGGCGAAAGCCUGACGGAGCAACGCCGCGUGAGUGAAGAAGGAUUUCGGUUCGUAAAGCUCUGUUGUUAGGGAAGAGUGGAUAUGUAGUAACUAUACAUGUAAGAGACGGUACCUAACCAGAAAGCCACGGCUAACUACGUG